rnacentral:lncRNA from 10 species
GGGGCUGUGUGUCAGCAUCUGGAGGGGGUGAGCUGCACCUGAGUGAGUGUGGCUUUCCUAGUGGCCAGCGCUGGUUUAGCUGCUAGAGAAAAAGAACCCUCCUGGCCGGCAGCCCCUGGUUUCUGCUUUUCAGUGUCUUGUGCGUGACUCCACCCCUGCCAGGCAGGGCCUCAGGUCUUGUUGAUCAUUUGCUGUCUUAUCACCACAAGGAACCUGUUUUGUCAGUCUCCUCUUUAUGUUCACCUUCAUGCUGAUUUCUCUGGAAUCCCCUUGGCCAAGAAGGGUCCAUUCAGCUUGUUGGUGCGGGAGCUCAGGAUUUCAUUUUUAGUUCUCACAUGGCAGGGCGCAGACUGACCACUCUGUUCCCACACCUGGCUCAAGGUGGGUCGAGGGCCUUCCCAGCCUUCUCA